CCGGCGACCGGCGCACGGGUGAGUAACACGUAUGGAACCUGCCCGCAGCAGGGGGAUAAGCGGAAGAAAUUCCGUCUAAUACCGCGUAACAACGUUGGGAGGCAUCUCCCGAUGUUUAAAGAUUUAUCGGUUGCGGAUGGCCAUGCGGCGCAUUAGCUAGUCGGCGGGGUAACGGCCCACCGAGGCGACGAUGCGUAGGGGUUCUGAGAGGAAGGUCCCCCACACUGGUACUGAGACACGGACCAGACUCCUACGGAAGGCAGCAG
rnacentral:rRNA from 1 species